GUAAGGCAACCCGUAAGUGUUUCGGGUCAAAUAAAGGUCCCGUGCAGGCACAGGGACAAGGUCGGUAUUCCCGAGUAGCGGUCGGUUAUUAAUUUUGAUAAAUCAAGAUUUGGUGUAGCUUGAUGGUAUAAUUUAAAAUCUUGGGAGGGUCAAAGAGCAAUUAUAGAAAAAUCCCCAAGUGAAAUUAUUAAUUUUCUCAAGUGUAAUUAAUGAAAAGCAAUGGGGUUAAUAUGUAAUUGUAUAUAUAUGUAUAUGUGUGUAAGUACUGCCCGCGUGAGAGGAAGCUUCAAGGAAGUUUCCUAUGUAAUUGCCUCUGCCAUUUUGAAAUGGCCGAGUGAUGCAAAAUGGGAAAAGGCUUGGCCGUGAGAGGCAUUGCGCGCACAAAAGAGGGAGAGAUCGCAAGAGCGUGAGAGUGAGAGUGAGCUCACGAGGGAGAGACCGAGAAAGGAGAUGGCUGUGCUCGCCAUGGAAGAGCAGCCUUGAGCUGCUGUUUGCAGUGACCGAGGGAAGCAAGGCCAAUCGGCCAUGGGGACGCGAAGAAGCAGCAGCAACCGUCGAUGGUGAUCGGCGAGGCGCUCGCAACGGAAGGAAGAAACGACCAGGAGCUUGGAGGUCGGCCAUGGCAGUCGGCAGUUACAGCGAGGCAGAGCAGCGGCGGACAUGCGGAGGGUCCCAAUGGAGGCCGGCCUCGUAGCAGCAGCCGGGAGCGGCGGUUUUGAUAGCUUGAAGAAGCUCCAACACCGGCGUGGCAAGCUUCAAUGGCCGAUUAUGGCCCCUGGUUUGCAGUGAUGGUUGGUCAGGCGCAAGCUGGAGGCGCACGCACAGAUGGUGGUUCGCGGUGGAGGCUGGCAUCAACGUUGGUUGCGGUGCAGCCAGUCGUGGCCGGCGACGACGGCCUGGCCGUGAGCAGCAUCAACAACCGAUUGCUGGUGCGCGCCAUGGAGGGAGCAGCUGCGCAUGCGCCAGAGAAGAAGAAGACGAUGAACAGGGAGGAGGGAGAAAAUAAAGAGAAAAGAAAAAGAAAAAUAGAAAAGAAAAAGAAAUAUGGAAAAUUUUGGAAAAUAGGAGAAAAUCCCAAAAAAUGGGGGAAAGGUCUGGAAAUUAAUUUGGGGCUCGAGGAGUGGGCCGGAGGUUCGAUAUGGGAAUCCGAGGGCAUUAUGGCGGUCCAAUAGGCGAUGCUAAUGUGGACGAUUAGCCAAUUUUCUCUUCCAGAUUAACUGAGGUUCGACUGGGGAGGCAGGUGAUCCUAGAAGAGCUCGGAGUUCGUGCUGGGUUCGUGCCGAGGUAGAGAUAAGGCUUCGAGCCAGAUGAUGCAAGUCUGGAUACAAGCAGGGAUGGCACCGAGAGGCUGUUGUGGCAACUAGCUGUGUUGCCCGAGUUAUGUAUUUUUAAUAUUGCUUGUAUGUAG